rnacentral:rRNA from 1 species
UUAAGCAUAUCAAUAAGCGGAGGAAAAGAAACUAACAAGGAUUCCCCUAGUAACGGCGAGUGAAGCGGGAAGAGCUCAAAUUUGUAAUCUGGCACCUUCGGUGUCCGAGUUGUAAUCUCGAGAAGUGUUUUCCGCGCCAGACCGCAUAUAAGUCUGUUGGAAUACAGCGUCAUAGUGGUGAGAACCCCGUAACUGAUGCGGAUGCCUGGUGCUCUGUGAUACACUUUCGAAGAGUCGAGUUGUUUGGGAAUGCAGCUCAAAUUGGGUGGUAAAUUCCAUCUAAAGCUAAAUAUUGGCGAGAGACCGAUAGCGAACAAGUACCGUGAGGGAAAGAUGAAAAGCACUUUGGAAAGAGAGUUAACAGUACGUGAAAUUGUUGGAAGGGAAACGCUUGAAGUCAGACUUGCUAUUUGGAGUUCAGCCGCAAGGUGUAUUCUUCAAUUUGCAGGCCAGCAUCAGUUUUUAGGGGUGGAAAAGGGUAUUGAGAAGGUAGCAGUUUCGGCUGUGUUAUAGCUCUUUACUGGAUUCAUCCUUGGGGACUGAGGAACGCAGUACGCUUUUUGCAAGGCUUUCGGGCUUUUCGUACUUAGGAUGCUGGUGGAAUGGAUUUAAACGACCCGUCUUG